AAGGAGUUCGAUCAACAUCUGCCAUCAAAAGGGUGAAAUCACGAACUAGCAUUCGUGAGGAGCUGAUCAGACGGGAGCUUCGUGUGGAUGAUCCACAGAGGUCAGACACUUGUGUGGCUGCGACGUGAUGAUCAGAGCCCUUCGAUGGUGAUCAGAUUGCAGUGAUCGACUACCCGCAAAAGGUGAUGUGUUCUGAACACAGUACUGUAAAAGGUUUACUGAUUCAAAUUUGAAUUUCAAAUUUAAAUGCAUGCUGUUGUAUCAUAUUUAGAUCCUAGUGUAGAGUUAAUUAGUAUUAAUUAAUGAGAUUAAUUA
rnacentral:lncRNA from 1 species